UACGUAGGGUCCGAGCGUUGUCCGGAAUUACUGGGCGUAAAGAGCUCGUAGGUGGUUUUGUCGCGUUGUUCGUGAAAACUCACAGCUCAACUGUGGGCGUGCGGGCGAUACGGGCAGACUUGAGUACUGCAGGGGAGACUGGAAUUCCUGGUGUAGCGGUGAAAUGCGCAGAUAUCAGGAGGAACACCGGUGGCGAAGGCGGAUCUCUGGGCCAUUACUGACGCUGAGGAGCGAAAGCGUGGGGAGCGAACAGG
rnacentral:rRNA from 1 species